GUGGGGAAUCUUCCGCAAUGGGCGAAAGCCUGACGGAGCAACGCCGCGUGAGUGAAGACGGCCUUCGGGUCGUAAAGCUCUGUUAUAUGGGACGAACGUAUCUAUGGCCAAUACCCAUAGAUAGUGACGGUACCGUAAGAGAAAGCCACGGCUAACUACGUGCCAGCAGCCGCGGUAAUACGUAGGUGGCAAGCGUUGUCCGGAAUUAUUGGGCGUAAAGGGCGCGCAGGCGGCCGGUCAAGUCUGUCUUAAAAGUGCGGGGCUCAACCCCGUGAUGGGACGGAAACUGGCAGGCUGGAGUGUCGGAGAGGAAAGCAGAAUUCCUAGUGUAGCGGUGAAAUGCGUAGAUAUUAGGAGGAAUACCAGUGGCGAAAGCGGCUUUCUGGACGGUGUCUGACACUGAGGCGCGAAAGCCAGGGGAGCGAACGGGAUUAGAUACCCCGGUAGUCC
rnacentral:rRNA from 1 species